AUAUAAAUCGGCUCCCGCACGAUCACCAAAGUUAGGCAACGUCGAGCCAGGUCAGUACCUGGAUGGGUGUCCGCUUGGGAAUACCAGGUGAU